UGAAGAGGCCUUCAUUACUGGGACUGUUUUUAGGAAAAGUAACUGGUAUUGCACUUUAAGAAUACUUUUGCACUGUAAACUUGCACCUUAAUUAGCACUUUGUUUUGCACAGCACUUUAAGCAUGACUUUGCACAGAAAUAACCAUUUGCACACAAGAAGUUUUAACUAUUUAUUGAAUAUUUAUUGGAUAUUUUAAUAAUUAGCAUGUAGCCUUUUGUUCAGGUUCUGCACAGCUGCUCCUCAUUGGGAAAUGGUGUGGGCUCUGUGAAAAGAAGAAUUGUUAUUUAGAGCUAAGGUCUACUGUCAGGAAACUUAAGCAAAUGGUGGUGUAGAAUCUGUGAGAAGUGUGAGACUAAACAAAGUGUUAGAAGUUGGUGACUUACCUGUUUUCUAUGUCCUCUCCAGGGUGUUUGGACAAAUGCUUCCCCGGGGGUCCAGACACCAUUUAUAGGUUCCGGGAGAGACCAUGGGAAAAGCAGGGGGGAACUUUUGCACAUUUGUUUUAAGGGGUUUUUAGGUGUGGGUUUAAAAGAUAAAAUAUUUAUAAAAAUAGGUGGGAAUGUGUAUGUGUAUUUGUAUUAUGUAAAUAUUGUAUUUUAUAGGUAAAGUUAAUAGUAAAUUGUUUAGUGCAGAAUGGUUUGACCCUUAAUCAGCAGAGGGUAUUUAAGGCAGUGAUUGUGUCUGUAAAACGAGUUGGUUGGAGGUUGGUUGUUAGUUGGUUGGCAGAGUGAAUGCUGCUACCAACAAAUAAAUGUAUUGCUGCUUCCACAUACUGCCACUUUGUCAUCAUUCCUGCUGAAACUCCAGCCUCAAAAGGCCACGAACCGACAAGUGGUGUCAGGAGUGGGAUUUGCCACGCUCAGUGGGAAAAUGAUGACGAGAGGUGGAAAAAA